rnacentral:lncRNA from 1 species
UUCAAGCUCACCCACUCGUCUGUUGCCGCCGCUACUGUAAAGCUCCCUCUCCUAUCAUUCACCACCCGCUCCCACUACCCUCCAUAGCUCUAGCCACCAAUGGCCCUACGCCUCUCCAUCUCCUCGUCUCACGGGCCGGCGUCCUCGCCGGCCAUCUCCACAUGCCGGCUGGCUGCCUGCGGGCGCUUCCCAGCCUUGGUUGGCACCUCAGCUGCGUCCCAGAAGAGGAGCCUCACGGUGAUGACGGGCUCUGAGAUGAGGGGAGUGACCGCCGUGAGGUCGAGCAGCUUGGAGACAACCUCGGUGGGAGCUGAGGCGGUGACCGGACAGGUGACAGAGGUGACCAAAGACACCUUCUGGCCAAUCGUAAAGGCGGCAGGAGACAAGGUCGUCGUCCUCGACAUGUACACUCAA